rnacentral:rRNA from 1 species
GGCUCAGGACGAACGCUGGCGGCGUGCCUAAUACAUGCAAGUCGAACGGUCUUUCUAUGGAAGCUUGCUUCCACUGAGAAGAUAGUGGCGAACGGGUGAGUAACACGUGGGUAACCUGCCCAUAAGAGGGGGGAUAACAUCCGGAAACGGGUGCUAAUACCGCAUAGUUUUCUUGAUUACAUGAUUGAGAAAGGAAAGACGGCCUUUGUGCUGUCGCUUAUGGAUGGACCCGCGGCGUAUUAGUUAGUUGGUGAGGUAACGGCUCACCAAGACGAUGAUACGUAGCCGACCUGAGAGGGUGAUCGGCCACAUUGGGACUGAGACACGGCCCAAACUCCUACGGGAGGCAGCAGUAGGGAAUCUUCCGCAAUGGACGAAAGUCUGACGGAGCAACGCCGCGUGAGUGAAAGAAGGUUUUCGGAUCGUAAAACUCUGUUGUCAGAGAAGAACAAGUUGGAGAGUAACUGCUCCAGCCUUGACGGUAUCUGACCAGAAAGCCACGGCUAACUACGUGCCAGCCGCCGC